UCCAACAAUCAGCAAAAUCUCUCUAACCUCAAAUAAGCUGCUCCCUCCAUUCCUGGAACCCCACCUUUGCACUGCCCCAUAAUCUCGAGUUGGGACCAACGUGGCCACCAGGUCUAGUCUAGGUACCAGGUCCUUUGAAAAAUCAUAAAUCAGGUCCUGCCACUCUUCUUUAAAAAUGUCGCCUUUAAGAAGAGUGGCAAACAAGAGCCUUUCAAUAUCUGGCUGCAAUCCACCUCCAUGACUCUUCCUACUCGCCAUGUGUUGUGUCUAUCAGGUGCCACCUAUUGCUACCCCAUGCUCACUCUCCAUCACCUCUCUCCUUUCUUGUCCUCCCCUGGACCCAGCUCACAAGCCCCUGACUGGGAAGCCCUUUGCCACUCCCGGACAGAGUAAGAGCUGACUCCUGGUGACCACACGGCAUUCAGGGUGCACCUUGUUUAGAGCCUCACAACCACAUACCACCCGCCUGUCUCCCCACAGACGGAGGCCUCUUUGCAGCCAGAGCCUGACUCAUUCACCUUUGCAUCUCCAGAGUUAAGCGCAGCUCCUGACCCAGAGUGCUCAAAAAAUAUUUGAGAAAUAAAUGAUUUCAGUUAACACGAAGCAGAAAAAAAAUGUAUUAUAUAUAUAUUUAUUUAUAUAUGAUAUUCAUAAUAUAUAUUUUAGUAAGAUAGCCAUCAAUUUAUUAUUAAGCCUACAUCUGUAAAUCCCAUUUUAGCAUCACGUUUAGGGAAAAAAAGAAGUUCAGUUACAUAAACUCGAUGUAUAUAGAGAGGUCACAGGAUAGCUCCCACAGAAUCAUCAGAAUGAUAUUUGUAUUUAACCUCAUUCUUAUCACUUAAAAUGAGCACUUUCCUAUAUCAUCUGGGCAUAUGUCCAUUCACCAGCUGUAUCCUUUAAAAUCUUGCAGAAUCACUGCUCCAGGUAAGCAUCCUGGACUGUCACCUGGAGAUAGGUGUAUACUCACAACUUCGCCAGAUCGAGUGUGGGCAUCUGCAGGGUAAGUGCCACGUGGCGCUGACCACACACUGAUGCUUAUCUCGCUGAAGUCCUCCAGCCCGCGACAGUCCUGGCAGGACUGCUAACCUUCGUGGGAGUCUUUCCUGUCCAUAGCCACACCCUCGUCUCCAACCAUACAGCUCCCUGUGCAUUUCCACAGCCUUUUUAAAAAUCUGUGCUCGCCUCUGUAAUUUUUAGAUAACAUUUCAGCAAUUUCAAGAGAUCGGAAAAGCA